GUAGGUGGCAAGCGUUGUCCGGGAAUUAUUGGGGCGUAAAGCGCGCGCAGGCGGUUCUUUAAGUCUGAUGUGAAAGCCCACGGGCUCAACCGUGGAGGGUCAUUGGAAACUGGAGAACUUGAGUACAGAAGAGGAAAGCGGAAUUCCACGUGUAGCGGUGAAAUGCGUAGAGAUGUGGAGGAACACCAGUGGCGAAGGCGGCUUUCUGGUCUGUAACUGACGCUGAGGCGCGAAAGCGUGGGGAGCAAACAGGAUUAGAUACCCUGGUAGUCCACGCCGUAAGCGAUGAGUGCUAAGUGUUAGGGGGUUUCCGCCCCUUAGUGCUGCAGCUAACGCAUUAAGCACUCCGCCUGGGGAGUACGGCCGCAAAGGCUG
rnacentral:rRNA from 1 species